CACUCCUACGGGAGGCAGCAGUGGGGAAUUUUGGACAAUGGGCGAAAGCCUGAUCCAGCAAUGCCGCGUGAGUGAAGAAGGCCUUCGGGUUGUAAAGCUCUUUUGUCAGGGAAGAAACGGUGAAAGCUAAUAUCUUUUGCUAAUGACGGUACCUGAAGAAUAAGCACCGGCUAACUACGUGCCAGCAGCCGCGGUAAUACGUAGGGUGCAAGCGUUAAUCGGAAUUACUGGGCGUAAAGCGUGCGCAGGCGGUUUUGUAAGUCUGAUGUGAAAUCCCCGGGCUCAACCUGGGAAUUGCAUUGGAGACUGCAAGGCUAGAAUCUGGCAGAGGGGGGUAGAAUUCCACGUGUAGCAGUGAAAUGCGUAGAUAUGUGGAGGAACACCGAUGGCGAAGGCAGCCCCCUGGGUCAAGAUUGACGCUCAUGCACGAAAGCGUGGGGAGCAAACAGGAUUAGAAACCCCUGUAGUCC
rnacentral:rRNA from 1 species